GCGAAAUCAAACUUAAAACUUGACUUGAAUAAUCCUUCCUCCUUGCCAUUUGAAAAAGAGCUUUCGGUAGCUCCUUAUAAAAUAAAUGGGGAAAGCACUGAUAAUAAUAGCCCUUCAGAUCAAGGGAAGGACCUAGUCAGUCUACGCAAUGCACUGGGGGACGUAUACUAUGUUUAUUAUCCCCGGACUGGGCUAUCAACUACUGCUACAAAUCCCACUAUGAAAUACU
rnacentral:misc_RNA from 1 species